CCCAGAACUUCCACAUGCCAUGGGCGCAGCCAAACAAAUAAAUAAAUAAUAAUUUUUUAAAAAAUAAAAAACUUUUAAUUUUGAAAUAAUUAUAGAUUCACAGGAACUUGCAAAGAUAGUAUAGAGAUAUCUUGUGUGUAUUUUUGAACCAGUUUGCCUCAACGAUUUUAUUUUACGUAAGUAUGGUAUAAUAUAAAAUUGACAUUGUUACAAUGUGAGUGUAUAGUUCUUUGCCACUUUAUCAUGUGUAGAUCCAUGAAACCACCACCACCAUCAAUGUUCAGAAUUAUUGCUUCACACAAAAGAUCGCUCAUGAUACAUACUCUUUUAUCUUUAUAUCCACUUACUCUCCCCCAUUCCAUUUAUAUCCUCUACCCCACACACACCAUUUUUAUUAUAGUUGUCUUAAGUAUUUCCUCUACCUAUUGAGAAUCACAUUAGACAGUAUUAUAAUUUUUGAUUCAACUAUCAAAAUUUAGAAAACCCCAAAUAAAAUCUAUUGUUUUUAUCCUAUAUAUUUACCCUAUUGUUCUUCCUUUCUUCCUGAUGUUCCAGAAUUCCUUUCAGUUCAGAAAUCUCUCUUUACUCUCUUUUAGGGUAUGUCUGCUGGCCACAAAUUCUCUUAGUUUUCUUGUGUCUGAGAAUGACUUUAUUUUCUCUUCAUUCUUGAAAGAUAUUCCCAGUGAAUAUUGAAUUCUGGGUUGCCAGUUUUUUCUUUAAGCACUUGGCAAAUGUUAACAUUCCUUUCUGGCCUCUACAGUUUCUGAUGAGAAAUCUGUGAUCAUUUACAUUGUUUUCCCCUUAGACUGUUUUCUCUCUUGUUGCUUUCAAGAUUUUUCCUUGAGCUUUUGUUUUUGAGUGUUUGAUUAGGAUGUAUAUGGGCAUGGAUUUCUUUGUCUAUUUAUUACAAACAUAUUUCCAUUUCUGUUCCUGAGUGUAACUUCAAUAGCUGCUUUAUAAUCUUUGUUAAUACCAAUGUAUUGAUCAUUCUGAGAUGAAUUCUUAUUUACUGCCUUUUCUCUUGAAUAUGGACUACAUUUAGGUAAUUCUUUGUAUGUCCACCGAUUUUUAUUGUAUCCCAGAUAUUGUGAAUGGUUGAAGAGACUCUGGGUUCUGUUACAUUCCUCUGAAGAGUACUGACUAAGGCAGAUUGAAACUGUAAACUAUUUUACUUUGUAGCAAGCAGCAACUGAAGUCUCUGCUCAGUUCUUUUAGCCUUAGGUGGACUUCUUGGAAUCUGCCCAGGAAUAUAUAGUUCAGGGUCAGUCAGAGAUGUGAAUAAGGGUUUACAUGCAGAAUUUAAGGCUCUCCUUACAGGCUUUCUUCUUCCUAGGAUUCUCCCCCUUCUUUCACGCUGUUGUGGUCUCACUGAAUUUGUCCUCUCGUUCUUCAAUCAAGUAAAACUGAGAGUUUUCUACUUAGUUUCAGUCUCCAUGCUUUACAGAGACCAGGGCCUUCCCACAGUGGAAAAAAAAAGCAGUCAUUUGCUGCUUCCAAAUGUAAGCUCUACUCCAGUUCGUGCUUGCUUUUCAUUGCUUUCUAGAGUUUUCAGGUAGUUUUUGUUUGUUUGUUUUUUGGCUUCUUAGGGCCCCGCCCGUGGCAUAUGGAAGGUCCCAGGCCAGGGGUUAAAUUAGAGUUGUAGCUGCCAGCCUACACCACAGCCACAGCAACUCAGGAUCCAAACUGCAUCUACAACCUACACCACAGCUCACAGCAACACCGGAUCCUUAACCCACUGAGCAAGGCCAGGGAUCGAACCCCAUCCUCAUGGAUACUAGUCAGUUUCAUUUCCACUGACCACAAUGGUAACUCCCCAGGUAGUUUUUUCAAAUAUUUUUUCCAGGAUUUUUAGUUGUUAUCUGCAGAAAAGUUUGUCCAAUAGAAGCUACUCCUCCAUUAUCAGAAAGCAGAACUUUGAAACUUUUUUUUUAAUAAGAAAUAUGGGCUUUAUUUAUUUAUAUUUGUUUUUACAGCUGCAUCUGUGGCAUACAGAAGUUCCUGGGCCAGGGAUCUAAUUGGAUUUGCAACUGCUGGCCUACACAACAGCCACACCAGAUCCAAGCUGCACCUGAGACCUACACCACAGCUUGCAGCAAUGCUGAAUUCUUAACCCAUUGAGUGAGGCACAGAUUGAACCUGAAUCCUCACAGACACUGUGUUGGGUCCUUUACCCGCUGAGCCACAACAGGAACUCAUGCAACAUUUUUAAUUCUAAUAGCUAACAUGAAUUUCCAAGACAGAGAAGAUAAUAUGCAGUAUUUUACUAACUGGUUUUGACCAGAGAGAUUUUAUUUGUUUGUUUUAAUGGAACAGCUGCAGAAUGACUGCUUUGCUCUGAGAAAAGCUGAGCGAAAGACAGCCUUAUUCAAGGCACACUUACAACUUCUUGCCAAAUACAGACCUUGCUUAUUAUCUACUUAGAUUUAAUGCUCACCUAAUUAAAUGCUAUAGGAAACAUACCUGCUUUAAAUGCCUUGCAAUUAAAGGUGAGAAUCUGACCUUUUUUAUAAGGUGAGAAUUGUAAGGGUGAGUGAUUGUCAUCUCCACUCAUAAUGUCUGAGCAUCUAGGUUUGUGUCAGUGGACAAGAGAAAAAUUAUGAAUAUGGGACUGUAUUCUGGCAGCUUAACACUUUAAGAUGGGAAUUCAGAUGAAAAUACAAAGAUGGUACAUGUAAUAUGUAUUAUGUGAAAGCAAAGCAAGUUUUGGUUUGUUUGUUUUUUGUUUUUUGUCUUUUCAUCUUUGGCAAGAUCCAACAAUAAGAGAGGACAUGGCACUUGGGGAGAUACUAAAUAACUUAGCAUGGUGGCAGUGGCAGUAGAUUGCUGGAGGAGAGAGGAGAGAGAAGAGGCUGGGGUGAUAAGCCAACGGCUGGGUCAGAAAGGCUUUGCAUGCCAUGCCAACCCUGGUACCAUUGAAAGACAUGGGGCUUUUUUGCCUUUUUAGGGCCCACCCGAGGCAUAUGGAGGUUCCCAGGCUAGGGUCGAAUCAGAGCUGACAGUCACAGCAACUCAGGAUCAGAACCCGCAACCUACUCCACGGCUCACAGCAACGCUGGAUCCUUAACCCACUGAGCAAGUCCAGGGAUCAAACCCGAGUCCUCAUGGAUAGUAGUCAGGUUCGUUAACCAAUGAGCUACUAUGGGAACUCUGGCAAAGCAGUUUUUACACCGACUGAAAGGAACUACUACUGACCAAUUCAUUACUUUUUUCCACACUAUCAACCCACUUAUAUUUUCCCAAUGGUUUUUUGAGCAUGGGAGGGGUGGUUUUUGUUUUUUAGGGCCAUACCCACGGCAUAGGGAAGUUCCCAGGCUAGGGUCAAUCAGAGCCACAGCUGCCAGCCUAUGCCACAGCUAUAGCCAUGCAGGAUAUAAGCCGUGUCUGUGACCUAUACCACAGCUCACAGCAAUGCCAGAUCCUUAACCCACUGGGCCGGGCCAGGGAUUGAACCAAAUCCUCAUGGAUACUAGUCAGGUUCAUAACUGCUGAGCCACAACAGGAACUCCCAACUUUUUAUUUUUUAAUUUAAACCAUAGAAUAACUGAAAACUGGUAUAAUAAAUACAUAUACCCUCUAACAGAUUCAAUAAUUAUUUACAUCUGCAUUUCCCAUAUUUGCUUUCACUCUGUCUCUCCUUUCCAUCCCCACCAGUUUGUGUGUGCAUGGGUGUUUUGUUUUGUUUUCAACGAAGUUCCAGGCCAGGGAUUGAACUGCUGCCACAGCAGCGACCUGAACCAUUGCAGUGACAACACCAGAUCCUUAACCCACCGCACAAGAGCGCACCCCACCAGUCUUUAAGGUACGUUGCAGGCAUAAGACUUCAUCUACAAAUAGCUCGAAAAAUAAGUUAAUUGCACAAUAUCACCUAAUGUCCAUUUGAGAAAGUCAUGCAGAUCUUCCCCCAGAUGAUGUCUUUGGGUAAGUUAAUUUUCCUCUUUAUGAUGCCGAACUUGGCCUCUGUGCACCAGAUUGAAUCUCAGAGACAGAGUUUUGGGUGAAAUGAUAAAGAACAGCUUUCUACUUUGCCAGGCAAAACUUACAGCAGUAAUGGCCUGAACCUAGCGUAUACCCAGAUUGGGACUUGAACCCAUGGUUUUAAAUUGGAAUCCCUCACCCAGUAUCUGGACUCACCGAGGCUCAGGUUCUUCAUGUCUCUGCACAGAAGGAAUUCAGCGAGAGACAAAGUGAUAGACAAGGAAUAGAUUUAUUAGGCUAGGAUGCUUGUAAGAGGGGCACAUGGGCAGGCAAGGAAGCUCUGCCCCAAGGAUCUGGUGGGCUACAGUUAUGUCAUUCAAGGGGAGUGGGGGUCUGGAAAAGAGCACCUCAUCCUUUCUGGGAGUGCUAGCUCCUCCUUGGUAUCCAGUAAAGUGUAUAUUCAAAUCAGCAGAAGGGUGGUCCUCAAACUCCUGCCCUAGGUCUGAAUCUGAGUACAGGCUUCAUCCCAUCUCCCACCCCCAACCCCCAAACAACCAGAGGCAAUUCUCACACCUCCACUAGUCAAGCAAGCCUGCCUUGUGCUGAUGGCUUUCUUUAGCAAUUUUUAACUGAAGCUGUCUUCCAAAGUCCCCUAAGUUUCCCUUUUUAUCUGUGGUCCCUCAUCAGGACUUUAACUACCUGUGCCUACCAUAUCCCUAUCAAAGGGUUCAAGGAUGGGGUUGCUGAUAUGGAUCAGGGCGUGUGCAGGGUCUGCAUUCCUUUAGUCUAUAGAGAUCAUCUGUCCUCAGGUAGUCUCCUGAUGGGCUUCGGUGGUCUCAAGGUUAUCAAACUGUGACCUUCUCUCUGGAAUGAGCAAUGUUUCAUCAGACAGUUAUCAUCUUCCAUUUGUUGUGGGGCUUCGUUCUGCAGAAGCGCUCAAAGAUACUGUGAGGUAUAUCCCUUGAGGAGGACCCAGGACUCUGCCCCAAGGCUGUCCUUGACUGCUCCUCCUGUGUCUCUGCAUCCCCUCCCUUCCCUGAUUAGCAACUGUUUGAAUCUGCCCUUUGGAAUUCAGGGGAGGUCUUGGAGGCCGGCUGAAGGAGGCCUAUUUUCUACAAACAAGAAAUGGGGGAGAAAGUCUUUCGUGCCCAAGGCUUGUCAACUUAAAAAAAAAAAAAGCAUAAUCUGAAAGUUGAGACUUAAGUUUUAUUUGGGGUGAAAUUAGGAUUUAAGCCCAGGAGACAGCAUCUCAGGUAGCCCUAAAGAAACUGCUCUGUGGUGAGGGGAGAGGUAGGAUAUAUGAGUUUUUGCAACAAAAGGAAGGUAGUAGGAACAAAAGAUUUACAGAUAACCAGAUUUACAGAAAACCAGUUUCUGUGGGAAGAUGUAAAGGUCUGGGCCUACUGGAAUCACUCUUUUUUUUUUUUUUUUUUUUUUUUUUUUGGUCUUUUUGUCUUUUCUAGGACCACACCCUCGGCAUGUGGAGGUUCCCAGGCUAGGGUCUAAUUGGAGCUGUAGUAACUCGGGAUCCGAGCCACAUCUGUGACCUACACCACAGCUCAUGGCAACACUGGAUCCUUAACCCACUGAGCAAGGCCAGUGAUGGAACCCACAACCUCAAGGUUCCUAGUCAGAUUCAUUAACCACUGAGCCACAAUGAGAACUGGAAUCACUCUUUUGAUAUGCACCUCAGCUGUAGGCCAGUCUUCUUUGUUUCUUUCCCGAGUUCCCUCAGGGCUUACUGGCUCACCUUUGUUCUCACCCUGACUAUGACCUCUUUGGUUUUGUUCACUUUACAGCCCAGGAGGCAGUAUUCCAAAGAGGAAAGGGGGAGUAAGUCAUCAAGCUGAAGGGUGUGGAAAGUAACAUAAUGUCUUUUCUAUCAAAGGAAAUCUUGGUUACUCCAUUUUGCUCCAGUUUCGGCUGAAACACCCCCCUGCGACCCCCUUCCUCUUUACCUUUUCUCCCAGCAACAGUUUGUUUCAACUGGCCAAUCGGGAAGAAUGUGCACCCUGACCUGACCAAUGGGAAGGGGACAGGUAUACCACCUGCUACCACCUGCAUUAGGGAUAAAGAGAGAGGGUCUUAGCUUCAGCGUGCACACUUUUUGAGCACCUGCGCCCUUCUGCAGAAGUAAGGAGCCUUGUCAAGAUGUCCCCUUGUCCACAUGUCUCACUUUUCAACACUGACGACCCGAGCCAGAGUUAUCUUAUUUGCCAACAAGGGGGAGGUGCAUGCAGCCAUGCACACAUUUUACAGAAGUUUGGCUGCUGGUCUCGUCAAGAUUUCUGUUGCCAAAAUUCGGCCUCUAUCUGCUGGUGCCAAAUUGAAAUGCAGAGACAGAGUUUGGGGUAAAGGAGAAAAAGAUAGCUUUAUUGUUUUGCCAGGCAAAAGGGGGCCAUAGCAGGCCAAUGCCUUAAAGACUGUGCCCGCCCCCCCCAAGUUGGGAAGAAUUGCAGGGAGUUUUAUAGUAAAAAGGAGAAAAAGGAGGUUUUCAGAUAGGAAUCAGGAUUGGGCAGACAUGCACUCUUCUUUCUUUGGGGGGAUCUUCUUCAUCAAAGCUGGAGUGGGGAGAUCUUGGUGUUGAGGCAGGAUGGUAACACUGUAGUUAGUGUAGGAGCGUGGGUUUCGUUGCAUUCUUUGAUGUGGCCAUUGAAAUCACUAACCCACUCCUCAACUGAUAGAAAAGGAAUGAGAGGAAUGGCGACUCUCAGUCUAAGAAGAGAAGAGCAAAGAAACCUUAAAACUUUUGGGGCAUUUCCACCUCUAAGACUCCUAUUGGACAAGGACUGAUAGAGGUAACUGGGCAAGGCCAAUGGGAGAAAACUACAUCCUUCUGGACCCCACAUUGGUACCCCCUCUUUAAGGGAUUAAAAACACCUAUAGGACAAUAGAGAGUGGGACUCUUCCUCCUCCUCCCAGUGUCUGUGCUGGGAGCUGUUUGCUUUCCUGUAAUAAAGACUUUGCUUGCUUGCUGCCUGUUGGUUCACGAGGUUGAUUCUUCAGCACCAUGAACAAGAACUCAGAUUCUGAUGUCAUCUUUCCAGCAUCAGCAUGAUCGUGGUGGUGGUCUUCUGGGAUAUUGCCUAGAAUAACGGUACUUGUGAAAUGGGCAUAUGACAAUGAGACACCAACAUCAAAUGCUUUCACUGACAUGCGGAAUCUGAAAAAAGGACAGACUGAACUUUGCAGAACAGAUGCUGACUCACAGACAUUGAAAAACCUGUGGUCUCUGGAGGAGACGGUUUGGGGGGUGGGGGGAUGUGCUUGGGCUGUGGGAUGGAAAUCCUGUGAAAUUAGAUUGUUAUGAUCAUUAUAAAAAAAUAAUAAAAUUACAUCCAAAAAAAAAAAAAAGAAAGAAAAGGGCAUAUGGAUCAGCGAUUCAAACAAACUAGGAAAGUUCCUGAAAAAUGACAUGUGCUCAUCAUCUUUAACCCACAGGCAAUUGUGCUCAGGGUGCUUAAUUUUUAGCUUAUGAGUGAUUGUGUUUAGGAUGCAAUUAAGCCAGGGAGACAGACAAGGAAGACUCUAAGCUGUUCAGUUUUAAAGUAUUCAUUUCUAAAAGAAGCAUAAGAAAUAUAACUUUUCUCUUAGGUGUAUAAGAUGCCUAUAUCAUCAUGUGUAUCCCUUGAGAGGGAACCAGGAUCCUGCCCCGAGGCUGUACUGUUGUUUCUUGACUGUUCCUCCCUGGUCUUCGCAUCCCCUUCCUUCCCUGAUCAGCAACUGUCUUUGAACCUGCUCCUUAGAACUCAGGGAAGGUCCUGGAGGCUGAAUGAGGCCCAUUUCCUAAGAAUAGGAAAUGGGGACACAGAAAGGCUUUUGUGCCCAGGAGCCCCACAGGGCCCUGCUUAGUUACGUCACUACUAGUCACAGACAUCAGUCAUCAUUGAAGGACUUUAGUGUUUUUCUAGAUAUGAGGAGAUGGAAGAAUUGGGCUCAUAAAAUCUCCUAAAACUAUCUAACCGUCUGAAGACCUGUUCUGCCAGUUUUCCCAGAGCUCAGAGUGCCCCACUCCUGGUCUCCACCCUGAGCUCCACUGGCGGGGGGCAGGGGUAGAGGCUGAUGACAACUGCCAACUUCAGCAUCGGUUCACAAGCCCCACCGGGUCCUGCUCAGUUUCAUUUAGUGCAGAAAUAUCUCUCUUCAGAAAAAAAAAAAAAAAAAAAAAAAAAAAAAUAUAUAUAUAUAGUAAAAAAAAAGAGGGAAGCAGAGGAUAAGAAAAGGGAAGAUCUUGUGAAGAUAAUAUUGGUUACUAGUUUAUAGGUACACAUAAUACCUUAAAUCCUAUCAUACAGCCUAAGAGUUUCUACACUUCUACAUUGGUUUAUAAUUCUACAUUGAUGUGGCAAAUUAACUGCUUUAAGUGGUGCUUUUCUUUCAGGCUUGGGACCAACUGAUGCCCAGAAAUAGCUUACAGGAUGGUCAGAAUCUGGUAAUCAAAUAUCACCCCACCCUCUCUGCCUUGCUAAACUCAGCAUCUCCUCUAAAACGCAGAUCAGGCAUCACCAAGGAAAAAACCCUCUCUGGCUCCUGCUCUUCUCCUUCGCCCCUGCUCCUACCACCCUUUAGACUGGAUGGAGUGUUUCUUCUCAGAACCCUACUCCUGCCACCAGCCCUUCUCAUCAGACUGGACCUGUUGCUCUCUGGCUCUCCCUCUCUGAUUUCUGUAAGUGCUAGGGAUUUGGAAUUUGCACCCCCAGGCUAUGUUUGAGCCAGAUGGAUACAAGCUGAAUGCUCAUGAAACAUUCAUCACCAAAAUAAGCAAGUCGACUAUGAAAGCAAGAGAAAGGGUCAGUGAUGGGAAAGAGAGGCUGGCAAGGGACAGCAGAACUGCUGGGAGCUGCUUCCCUCUGUGCCCGGGCAGUGGGGCUGUGGGGCUGGUCCUAGGCUGAAUUAAAUGGCUCACUGGCCUUUUUCCUUAUCCUCUUCCCUCCUAGAUUCUCAGUGUCCCAACCCUACUAUGUUUCUCUUGUCAAAAGCCAUUCACAGGGAGUACCCUUCGUGGCUCAGUGGUAAUGAAGCGACUAGUAUCCAUGAGGAUGUGGGUUCAAUCCCUGGCCUCACUCAGUGACUUAAAGAUCUGGCGUUUCUGUGGUUGUGGUAUAGGCUGGCAGCUGUAGCUCUGAUUAGACCCCUAGCCUGGGAACCUCCAUAUGCCACGGGUGUGGCCCUAAAAUAGCAAAAAAAAAAAAAAAAAAAAAAAAUCCAUUCACAUUAACAAGUGGCAAGAUGGGGACAGGAGGGCACCACAACUUAAAGGAAGUUUCUUGAGACUGAAGCCAAAACACCUCUGACUCGAACCCAGAUUGGGACUUGAACCCAUGGUUUUUUAAAUUAGAAGCAUUCACCUGGUGUCCAAACUUACUGAGGCUCCAUUUCUUUGUAUCUCAGCAGAGCAGGAUCUGGCGUUGCUGUGGCUGUGGUGUAGGCCAGUAGCCAUAGCUCCAAUUUGACCUCUAGCCUGGGAACUUUCAUAUGCCAUAGGUGUGACCCUAAAUAAGACGAAAGAAAGAAAGAAAGAAAGAGAAAAAGAAAGAAAGAAAGAAAGAAAAAGAAAGAAACGGACACUUGUGAAGGAUACAAGUGAGCAGCUAUUUGUAUAAAUCCAUCACAUUGAAGACAGAUUAAGACUUGUCAUCAAUUUCCUUAGGGGAGAAUGAAAGUGAAAAGGAGAAAUACAAGCAUUGGAUGAAUGCUGCACUGGGCACUGGAUUGUGAGCUGAUACCAGUGGAGGCUGAGAAUCACUCACUCUUGCUGUGACUAUCUGUACGGCAAAUUGUCUUUAAAGAUUUCUUGUCUUUGGAAACAGUGUCCACUGAGUAGGGAAUGACAAAAAUUAUGUUGUAGGUGAGUACUUAAUACAGAAAGAUGUUCAUAAAAUAUUAAGUGAAAUAAACAAUAUGUAAAACAAUUCAUAAAUAUGAAUGUACAUAUAUAUGUGUGUAUAUGCAUAUAUACAUAACUGAAGACAUGAUAUACCAAACACUUAAUUGACUAAUACUGGUUCUCUUUGGGGUAGAGUAGGAUAAUGGGCAUUUUGAAUUCCCCUCUGUUUUAUCUGUUAUAUCAUUUCCUAUAUUUAACACGUAUUACUUUUGUACUAAGAUAAACAUUUACGGCACUGAAAACUAUGUAUUGGCAGAACUCCAUUUGCAUGGUUGACAUCAUCUGAAUCUUGGUUUAGUCUAAUUUAACAAGAAAUCAAAGACCAUAUUUUUUAAAUCAAAAUAACUGCGUUCUUAACACCAGGAAAGAGGAACCAAAGCCCCUGCUAAGAGCCCGACUUGGUCAGACACCAGAUGGCCCCAGGAUGCCUUUGUUUGGCAGCAGCACUGCUGAUCCCCAGAUCCCCAGAGGCACCAGUUUCCGAAAGUAAUGCAAAUCACUGGAAGCUUGGCCAUGUAGAAGCGUGAGAACUGGAUGAAACAGGAAGAUCUGGAUUCUGGUAAGAAUUCAUCGUCAUCCGGGAGUGGAACCUCCAGCAAGUCACUUGAUCCCUCCAUCCUCUCCCCAAACAAGCUCUUCUUAUUCACUCACCAAUUAUUUACUGAGGCGCCUCACUGCCCUCGGCUCAUGCUGGAAUGCUGUGACCCUGUGCUAUUUUACAGACUUGCUAUGAGUGUGUUAUUUUGCAGACUUGUACUCCAUUUAAUGUAUACCACCAUUUCCAUCAUUCUGCAACAGAAUUAUGUAGAAUUCUCAAGAUUUGUUUGUUUGUUUGUUUUUUGCUUUUUAGGGCUGCACCUGCAGCAUAUGAAAGUUUCAGGCUAGGGGUCAAAUCAAAGCUGCAGUUGUCAGCUUGCGCCACAGCCAUAGCAACCUACACCACAGCUCACGGCAACGCUGGAUCCUUAACCCACUGAGCGAGGCCAGGGAUUGAACCCACGUCUUCAUGGAUCCUAGUUGGCUUCUUUACCGCUGAGCCACGACAGGAACUGCUAGAAUUCUCAAGCUUUAAGAGUGGAGUAAAACCUUUGUAAUCUAGGUAUUGAGAGCUCUAGAAAUAAGAGAAAGUUAGUGGUCCUCGUAAGGGACUAGGGUAAAGGAUAAACAGAGGAAAGAAUGGGAGAUGGGCGGGAACCUAAUUCCUGUGGUCCAGAGCAUCUUGGAGGAGGGGGCAAAGGGGAGAAACCCUGAGCCAAAGCUGUGGGGAAAGUUGCAAUUCAUGGUGCCAAAUUCCUAAGCAUGAUUGUCUAAAUGCCUUAUUUUCCUCAAUGUACGAUUCAUUAUUCUUCUCAGGCAACCCCAGUCUGAACCAAACAAUGCUGAUAUGUUUGCUCUUACUACAGGAGAGGGUGAGAUUAAGCUCAACAACGUUGUCCUUGGAGAUUGAAUAUCUAAUGGUUAAGAUCACAGGUUUUUGACAGAUAUAGGGAACAAGAGCCAAAAUCAAUAGACACUGGUAUUUUGUUCCAGAAAAACUACACAGACUAAACAUGGUCAUAAAGGAUAUAAUAGUGUCAGGGAAUGUUAUUUUUCUACUUCUCAGAAGAAAUUUAGAUCCAUUGCUAGACACAACCUUUAUUGUGAUUUUAACCUAUCAUCAUUUGAUUGUUUUUCUUCAUUGUACAGCAACGUGCUGGCCAAGAAAAUCGAAGGCCUCUCAGCAAGAAACAAUUGGAAAACAAACUAGUUGGAACUCGCUCACAUAAGGACAUACGUUCAUGUUCAAAUGCAAACACACACAGACAGGGAUAAAUGCCGUUGAAGGAAAAGAAACAUGAGGUAUUCCAUAAGGCAAACUGACUACUAAUCAAAAUUUAACUCUGAGGAGUUCCCGUUGUGGCUCAGUAAGUUAGGGACCCGACAUAGCAUCUGUGAGGAUUCAGAUCUGAUCUCCAGCUUCUCUCAUUGGGUUAAGGAUCCAGGGUUUCUGUGAGCUGCAGUGUAGGUGGCAGAUGCAGCUCAGAUCUGGUGUUGCUAUGGCCUCAGCUGCAGCUCUAGUUUGACUCCUGGGCCAGGAACUUGCUAUGCUGCAGGUGCAACUAUAAAAAGAAAAACAAAUUUCACUUCGAGACCAAAAAUACCUUUGGGCAACAGUUGGUGAGCAAAUUCCCUCUUAAUGAGAGUCCAAGGAGCCCAAUGUCAGGCUGUUUUAAAGGGCUCCCCUGUGCUCAAUUAUCUUAGGUAAAUAUGGGGCCGGCCAGGUAAAAGUGCUUUGUAAGUCAAAUUAGAGGGUGGUUGAUAGGAAUGUAGAAGGAAGUCAGAACUGAAGAUGUUUCUGGCCAGAGAGUUUGAUUCAUUAAAAGAACACUAAUAGCAACAUAAACUCAUGUGCCUUUACACACACAAAAAUAAUGUUUCCUGAUUCGUAACCCAUGUGGCUGAGAGGGUCUCUUCUUUGUGUUAAGAAGCUAGAAAAGCUCACUUGAGAUCAUCUUAAUGUUCACUUAAUUAAUAAUUGAGAUCCUAUUAAUCCAGAAAAGAGCCAUUUGAGGAUUUUUGCAGACAUUGCAGGUAUGGACUAGGGCUCUGUGUAUCUUCUCACAAUAUUGGAGGAUUUUAUGUGUACAAAGGCCUACUAGGAAUCUUCUGCCCUUGCCUCCUUCUCCGUCACACACCUACAGCUCUGCUUUCCCAAGUAAAAUAUUGUAGCACUAUCAUGCUUUACAGAUUAUACCUUACAUAUUCGGUAAUUAAAUAUGAAAAGUAGGGAGUUCCUGCUGUGGCUCAGUGGUAACAAACCCAACUAGUGUCCAUGAGGAUGCAGGUUUGAUCCCUGGCCUUGCUCAGUGGGGUUAAGGAUCUGGUGUUGCUGCAAGCUGAGGCAUAGGUAGCAGACACAGCUCAGAUCUGGCGCUGCUGUGGCGUAGGCCGGCAGGCAGCUACAACUCUGAUUCAACCCCUAGCCUGGGAAUUUCCAUACGCCACAGGAGCAGCCAUAAGAAGGAAAAACAAAAAAUCUGUGUUAAGACCUCAGGAAGUUUUAAGGUGUUGCUUCAUAGACCCUUUCAAGCAUACAAAGACCUGCAAACUAUAAGCUCAGACAGUAGCUUUGCAGAGACUAAGGCAGAGAAGGGCUAAAUGAGAUUUGUGGGUAUGGUUUUGCCUAAUGGAGUGGGUCAUAAAUUGAUUCUUAAGAAGCCUGCAAUGUUUUUUCCUUAAAGAACUAUGAUGAACUUAAACCAUAAGGGACAUCAGGCCUUCGAAUUCCCAAAGGGCAGGAAGCAGUCUAAGAGAGCAACUCAGCUGCAAAGAUGGGCUACUUUUAGUGGAAAAGGAAAAGUGCCCAAAGGGUAGACUCAAGAGCAGAUAUGGUGAAUGACUUCCAAGAAACAGAACUGAGUCCUCAUCAGGGAACUGGCAGCACACACUCAGGAGGAUUGCAGAACUGCUGUGAGCCAGGGACUACUCUGGGCUCCCCACUUUUCUCCCUUUUGAGCCUAAGUGUCUAUACCUUGACCCACUGCUGUAUUUUGGGUAUGGUGGGGAGAUGGCUUGUCUCUUGAGUCACAGGUGUUCAGAUUGGGUGGAGCUACCCUAGGGGAUAGUAGCCAGGGAGCCUCAGCCACAUGCUACCAUAGGAUCUGGAAGCAUGGAUCGAUGUCGGGAGACAUGUUUCUACAAUAUUUUCUUAGCCACUCUGUUUCUAUUUUCUUUGCUAAAACCUCCAUCUUGUCCUGCCUUACUUUACCCCAUCUUCCUGCUCGAAAAACAGUUGCAGUGCUGGUAAACGACUUAAGCUUAAGAACAAAGACCUAAAGGCAUAAGUUAUUCUUAGGGUCAGCUGAAUGAGGACAGGGAUGCCGGACCUGUGCAGAUGGGCACGCCUGUGCAGAUGGGCAGGGCGUCUGCACAACAUAUGUCCUAUCAAAAUAAGAGAAAGAGGAACCUCAUGGCCCCAAGUGGUUUAUGAAUGGUCAUUAGCAGAAUAUGCAUCAGCAAGGAGAACCAAGGUGCAAACCUAGGCACCCCAGGUUGCCGCAGAUAGACAUGCCCUUUGUGGAAGCACAAUGGUGAUUCUUGAGAUGCUAUGCACAGAUAGCCAAGCUUCCCCAAAUGCUAAUGAUUGUUAAAUGCCUAAAGGUCAGAAUAAAAGCUUAAUCAUCUACCAGCUGUGUGACUUCUAAAAUAAUAAAAGAACUUCUAAAAUAAUACAAAAAACUAUAUCCUACACCUAUAACCCCCUCCUCACUUGACGUCAUCCUAAAGAGCACAGUAAAAGCAGUGUGGUUUCUUGAGGCAGCACUCUUGGUCCCUGAGACCUUGAGUCCCCCAGUUCCCACCUUUACUUAAGAUAAAUGUCUCUGUAUCUUGUUUUAUGUUAACUUUUCCUUAAGUUUCACGGCACCCGUUCUUCCGCCCUCACCUGCUGAGCUGUCUCGGCAGAUGGAGAGGAGGGGGAGUGAGUAUAUCUUACAUGUAGGGGAAAUGCAAAGAAUUCAUGUCCCAUGGGCCACCUGUGAAGUCUUAAAACAUGCCUGUGAAUUCGUUGAUGUUCUUCCCAACAAAAGAUAGAGCCCAAUUCCCCUUCCCUUGAAAGGGGCUUGCUUCUAACAAAUAGAAUAUGGCAGAAGGGAUCCUGUUUGACUUCUCAGACAAGCUCACAAAAGGGGAGGCAGUUUUGCCUUGUUUCUUUUCUCUUGCCAGGUUUGCUUUGGAAUCCACUGACCCCUGUGGGAGGUGGGCCAGCAGCCACCAGGGAGGGCAGGGUGGAGGUGUUCUGGCCACAGUCCAGCUGCGGUCCCAGCCCAGGGCCACUCUUACCCGGCAACCUGUGAGUAGGAAGGUGAGUUUUCAGAUGUGGUCCCAGCGCAGAGAUGCCACGGGGAGCAAAGACAAACUGUCCUUGCCAACCCCAGCCAAAUUAUAAAUUCAUGAGGAAAAUGAAUGUAAUCAUUGAUUUAAGGCACUACUUUUUGGAGUGGUUUGUUAUGUGGCAACAGAUUAACUGGAUGUUGAUGUGCAAAUACCUGCUAGAAAUAUCCCCAUAUGCAAAUGCAACCUUGUAACAGUCACAAGAUUUUAGGCAUUAUAAAUUAUAAUUUCUUUAUGGUUCCCAGAUUUAUCACUUACUAAUUGUGGGACCUUUAGUAAGUCAGUCUCUUGAACUUCAGCGUCUGCAACUAUAAAAUGGAGAUGAAAGUACUUGUCUUAAAAAAAAUGAUUUAUGUUGUGAGAUAACGGAUGUUAGCUAAAAAAAAGUCAUUUAUGAAUAUUAUCUAGCAACGAGCAAAAGGAUGAUGUAUUGGAUUCACAUGAUUACAACGAUAAAAAUGUACAGAAAUAGAUGAUUAGGUUAGUGGAAUUAAAAAUAUUUUUUUCCUUCUAUUUUCCAGAUUUCCUUAAAAUGAUUUACUUUAGUAAUAAAAAAUUAGAAAGUGUUCCCCAAAAUCCCAUUGCACACUCCCAGCCCAAACCCAGGGAAUAAAUCAAUGGUUAUUUCUUCUCAGUCUCCCUGCAGGUUAAACCAGGUAAAUGGUUUGGAAGAGAAACAGUGAUGAAACAGCUUCCUAUCCUUGGAAUCUGGGGGUCAAUACAGGAUUGACCCCAGAACCCAGAUUACUUGCCUCCCCAGCUAGCACACUAUUUCUUCCACCUGUAACCUCACAGUACUAGUUUUCACCUGUAUAGGCUAAGCCACACGAAAUGCCUUUAUUUAAAUAACUGGAAGUCUCAGCCAUCUGAUCUUAGGAGGCAUAUAAUCCAGUGAUUAGCAGAGUCAGUCAAAAUGCAUGCAUUGGAAACCUGCCUCCAGCACGUAUUAUCUGGGGUUUUUGUAGAUGUGAAUAAUGAUACUGGGGGGAGAUCAUCCUGGAUUACAAGGGUGGACCCUCUAUCCAAAGACACAGACACACGCAGGUCAGGGGAAGAGAGAAGUUAUGUAGCCACAAACCAGGCAAAGUCUGGAGCCACAGAAGCAGGGAGAAGUGGGAACGGAGUCUCUCUUAGAUCCCAGAGGAAGGACAGCCCUGAGGACAACUUCUAGCCCUCUGAACUGCGAUAAUACAUUUCUGUUGUUUUAAGACACCAAGUUUGUGAUGAUUCAUUAUGGCAGCCCUACGAAUAUAAUGCAAUGGAAGAAUCUUGCAAAUCACAAGGAUGAAGGGAAAAAAUUCAAAUGACAAGAAAAAAACCAUUUAAAGCUUUAAAAACAUGUAAUGGAUACUUUGUAUUAUUUAUAGAUAUAUACAUAUUGACAAAAAGCAUAAAGAAAAUGGGAGGGAAUUCCCUGGUGGUCUCAUGGUUAGGAUUUGGUGCUUUCACCACUGCAGCCUAGGUUCAGUCCCCAGUCUGGGAACUGAGAUCCCACACCAACCCACUACACACUGUGGCCAAAAAAAAGAAAGAAAGAAAGAGAAACAAAUGGGAGUGACAAAAACUAAAUUUAGGGGAGCGUGAAGUGAUGGAAGAAAGGUGACACAAUGGAGAUACAGAGGGCUUCACCUGUAUUGAUAAUAUUGUGUUUCUUAAGCUUAGUGGUGGGGUCAAGCAUGAUCAAUAUUGUAUUUUUAUACUGUUGUGUAGGACUUUGUUUAAUAAUAAUUAAAUUUAAAAUAAAAUUUAAAAGGAAUAAGAAAAAAGGAUAAGAAGGAAGGCUAAUGAUGGCACCUUGAAGGCAAGGAGCUUCUUUCCUAGAUAAUGUGUGACCUUUCAAAUGUCAGCCAGAACAACAUGGUUUGGUGCAUAUGUAUCUCCGGAUACUUCAUAAGCAGAUGAAAAUCACUUUGUUAAUAUUCAGGGUUCUGAUGUUGUUUAUAAAUAAUUCCAGUAGUAACCUUUUUCAUGGGAAAAACACCUGUACAGUGCCGACUGAUUACUCCCUGUGGAUAUGGCUUAGCUAAAAAUUAAUAUAUCAUACUUUCUAGAAUGACACACUGUGGGCUGGAAUAAGAGAAAACAGUAAUUUAUAAGAUGGAGUAAUUACUGGAGGAUCCAGGUACUAUUUACUGACUUUCUUCUUUGUUCUCAAGCCAAUAAAAUUAUUGAGCCCACAUUCCCAGAGUCCUUUAUUAGCCUUAAUCUUAGGUUGUCUAUCAAAAACAAUACUGUUGUGGAUUAAUAAACACCACAUACCUGUAAUAAGCCACCCGGGCCAUUCCAUCUUCCGAAGUAAUAAGUGAGCUCAGCUGAGGCAUUAUCAAAGUGUCACUGACUAGCAGGGCUGUGGGCGCUUGCUCCCUUGGGUGGCCUCACCCGCCUCCCUGGCUGCGCUAUCUGGACUGUCCACGAGGUGGCAGCAACUGCACAGCCGUCAACCCAUGGCCUCCAAGGACAACUGAGACCGCCAUUGACUUCCUCACCCUCGCCAACAGGGCUUUUUCUUUUAGUGCUGGGAUUUAGAAAAAUAUUGUGACCAUUUUCAAUUAAAAAUCAUUCAGGUUUAACCACAACUAACAUAAAUAGUCGUUUGAUAUCUGGUACAGACCGCCUCACAUUCUUUAUUUUUUCUUUUUUUCAAUACACUUGGUGAAAUGCUUUAUUAUUUUAAAAGCAUACCUGUUUUUCAAAGUGUACUAGGCCUGUGAAUAAUCUCAGGUAAUAAGACAUACAUUUAUAUUGUGACAGUACAGUGGAAGUCAACAGUACAAUAUUCAGAGAAACAGUCUUUCAAACAAUCGGCAUUUUAUAAAGGGCAGAAUCCUUUGACAGCAGGUAAAUUACAGCUGGUUUCAGUGGGAUUUUCUUGUUAGGACAUUAUUGCUAAAAAUCCAUAUUCAGCUGGGAAAUGUCACACCCAGUCUCCAGUUUUCUUACCGAAUCUCCCAGUGCCCAGUUUUGGAAACUCUGGACCCCUGAGCACUUAAGCCCCUCAAAGUGUUACUGAAUAGGUCAGACAGACCCCCUGCCUAGACCCAACUUGGCGGGGGCCCUCUGCCUCAGUGAGGAAGGUUCUUUUUCCAUUAGGGUUCAUGCAGCCCCAAAACAAAACCGAAGCCAAGACUGAGGCAGCACAAGCUUUAUUCAAUGGCCAGAGAAUGGAGAAAUGGGAAUUUAGUUCACAAAUUAACUUCUCGCCCACAUGGCAAAAGGGAUUUGAUUUUAAGAGUAAAGACCAGUUUCACUGAUUUACAUGCAGCUGUCCAGUUUUCCCAGCACCAUUUACUGAAAAGACUGUCUUUUUCCCUUUUUAUAUU